rnacentral:rRNA from 1 species
GACGAACGCUGGCGGCGUGCCUAAUACAUGCAAGUCGAGCGCAGGAAACUGACGGAACUCUUCGGAGGGAAGGCAGUGGAAUGAGCGGCGGACGGGUGAGUAACACGUAAGGAACCUGCCUCAAGGAUUGGGAUAACUCCGAGAAAUCGGAGCUAAUACCGGAUAGUUCAACGGACCGCAUGGUCCGCUGAUGAAAGGCGCUCCGGCGUCACCUUGAGAUGGCCUUGCGGUGCAUUAGCUAGUUGGGGGGGUAACGGCCCACCAAGGCGACGAUGCAUAGCCGACCUGAGAGGGUGAUCGGCCACACUGGGACUGAGACACGGCCCAGACUCGUACGGGAGGCAGCAGUAGGGAAUCUUCCACAAUGGACGAAAGUCUGAUGGAGCAACGCCGCGUGAGUGAUGAAGGUUUUCGGAUCGUAAAACUCUGUUGUAAGGGAAGAACACGUACGAGAGGAAAUGCUCGUACCUUGACGGUACCUUACGAGAAAGCCACGGCUAACUACGUGCCAGCCGCCGCCGUAAUAC